GUGCCAGCAGCCGCGGUAAUACGUAGGUGGCAAGCGUUGUCCGGAUUUAUUGGGCGUAAAGCGAGCGCAGGCGGUUUCUUAAGUCUGAUGUGAAAGCCUUCGGCUCAACCCGAAGAAGUGCAUCGGAAACUGGGAAACUUGAGUGCAGAAGAGGACAGUGGAACUCCAUGUGUAGCGGUGAAAUGCGUAGAUAUAUGGAAGAACACCAGUGGCGAAGGCGGCUGUCUGGUCUGUAACUGACGCUGAGGCUCGAAAGCAUGGGUAGCAAACAGGAUUAGAUACCCUGGUAGUCCAUGCCGUAAACGAUGAGUGCUAGGUGUUGGAGGGUUUCCGCCCUUCAGUGCCGCAGCUAACGCAUUAAGCACUCCGCCUGGGGAGUACGACCGCAAGGUUGAAACUCAAAGGAAUUGACGGGGGCCCGCACAAGCGGUGGAGCAUGUGGUUUAAUUCGAAGCAACGCGAAGAACCUUACCAGGUCUUGACAUCCUUUGACCACUCUAGAGAUAGAGCUUUCCCUUCGGGGACAAAGUGACAGGUGGUGCAUGGUUGUCGUCAGCUCGUGUCGUGAGAUGUUGGGUUAAGUCCCGCAACGAGCGCAACCCUUAUUACUAGUUGCCAGCAUUAAGUUGGGCACUCUAGUGAGACUGCCGGUGACAAACCGGAGGAAGGUGGGGACGACGUCAAAUCAUCAUGCCCCUUAUGACCUGGGCUACACACGUGCUACAAUGGAUGGUACAACGAGUUGCGAGACCGCGAGGUUUAGCUAAUCUCUUAAAACCAUUCUCAGUUCGGAUUGUAGGCUGCAACUCGCCUACAUGAAGCCGGAAUCGCUAGUAAUCGCGGAUCAGCAUGCCGCGGUGAAUACGUUCCCGGGCCUUGUACACACCGCCCGU
rnacentral:rRNA from 1 species